UACGUAGGUUGCGAGCGUUGUCCGGAAUUACUGGGCGUAAAGGGUGCGUAGGCGGCUCUUUAAGUGGGAUGUGAAAUCCCUGGGCUCAACCCAGGAACUGCAUUCCAAACUGGAGAGCUAGAGUGCAGGAGAGGAAAGCGGAAUUCCCAGUGUAGCGGUGAAAUGCGUAGAGAUUGGGAGGAACACCAGUGGCGAAGGCGGCUUUCUGGACUGUAACUGACGCUGAGGCACGAAAGCGUGGGGAGCAAACAGG
rnacentral:rRNA from 1 species